CAUGACUUUAACAUUUGCAAUGUUUUGAUAGGAAAAGUUUGGAUUAGGGGACUAUUUGAAGCGUCGGCAGUGCAGUUGGCGCUUGACCGGAUCAUAUUUUACAUAUCCAGAGAGGAGCUAAUCUCUUUCCAGUGUUAUUCUAUUUCUCAAGACAAGAGUGGCACUACUACUCCAGUUCUAUCAGAAAAUAUGAUCUAUCAAAUAAACAAACUGGAA